rnacentral:rRNA from 1 species
AUAGAGACUCAGAGCCGCAUAUCAAUAAGCGGAGGAAAAGAAAACUAACAAGGAUUCCCCUUAGUAACGGCGAGGUGAAGCGGGGAAAGAGCUCAAAUUUGAAAUCUUCAAGGUUCUACCUUGACGAAUUGUAGUUUAAAGAAGUGUUUUCUGUUAGUAGAAUCUUGGCUAAAAGUUCUUUGGAAAAAUAAAGGACAUCAAUAGAGGGUGAGAAUCCCGUAUUUGGUACCAUUCUUUCUAGCUUUGUGAUACACUUUCAGACGAGUCGGAUUGUUUGGGAAUGCAGUCCAAAAUGGGUGGUAAAUUUCAUCUAAAGCUAAAUAUUGGCGAGAGACCGAUAGCGAACAAGUACCGUGAGGGAAAGAUGAAAAGAACUUUGAAAAGAGAGUUAAACAGUACGUGAAAUUGUCAAAAGGGAAGCGUUUGACACCAGUGUUGUUUUUCCGAAAAUCAAUUACGAAUGUUUUGUUUUUGAGGAGUUAUGACUUCAUCGGCUUGCUCCUUUCCUUAUGAAACUUUCUUAAUGCACUUUUCGGUUAACAAGUCAACAUCAAUUUCUUUUGUUGUAAAAGGGUAUGAGGAAGGUGGCUUUCUUUUCGGAGGAAAGUGGUUUAUAGCCUUGUGCCUCUGCAAUCGGAGAGAUUGAGGUCUGCAGCGUAGAUCCUUCGGGGUUAGAUACGUUUGUGCUAAGUUAUAGCUUUUCAUAGACAACUUGUUGACUAUGUUUAGUCUUGUAGCUUACUCGCUUACUGCUAUUUUACCUACGCUUAGGAUGUUGAAGAUAUGCGCGACACG